CGUUCCUUGGAUGAAUAGCAAGAGUACGCGGAGAAGUUCUCAAAAUGAUAUCAGUUUCCUGGUAAGAGGCUCUGCCUCCAGUAUCUUCCAGAAUUGGGGACACGACGAUUGCUCAUACGACAAUAUUGUUCCAGGGUUUAUUUCGUCUGAGAUAAACAGAUAAACGGUUAGAGGUGACGGCGACGUUUACUUUUCGUACCUUGAUGGUUCUGUCAUGUUUGAGUGGGAUUAUCGAUUCGGUUAGGGGUCAACCUUGUCCUGUUACCCAGCCCGACUACUUGCCUUCCUACGAGGACAGUGAUAUCCUUUUGAGAACUUCCCCGCAUACUCUAGGCAUUCAUCCACGGAAUGCACUCCAAUACCGUUCCGACGUCGAACAACCGGUCGAGGAACUGGAAUGCGGCGAUCCACUCUCACAAGCUGGUGCUGUACGAUCACCACAGAAUACCGGUCUGUGUCCAUGGGAGUACAUAGCUGAUCAUAACGAUACGAGGAUUCCACAUACUAUAUACAAGGCAAGAUGUCUCAGCUGUACCCGGGAGUGUAUUGAUCCGAUGGCGAGUAACAAUUCUUCGCAGAUACAUAGAUUGUUCUCAAGAUGCACCGAGGUAUAUCACAACCUUAAAGUUCUUGUCAGAUCCGAGAACCCUUGUCUUGGACAAACUGGUUUGUUUCAAUAUAAAGAACAUAUCGCAAGUGUGCCCGUUGCCUGCGUCUGUACACGCUCCUAAUUCUAUUUUAUUCUGGUCAUUAUUAAGCAUGCAUGAUAAGUCACUUUUAAUUUUCCCCCUGAUAAAGAGCUUUCUUGUACUAGGCAUAAUAUUUACACGAUUUUUAUACAUUCAAA